rnacentral:rRNA from 1 species
UACGAGAGCCCCAAGCGUUAUCCGGAAUUAUUGGGCGUAAAGGGUGCGUAGGCGGGCAGGUAAGUCAGUGGUGAAAUCUCCGAGCUUAACUCGGAACUGCCGUUGAUACUAUCUGUCUUGAAUAUUGUGGAGGUAAGCGGAAUAUGUCAUGUAGCGGUGAAAUGCUUAGAUAUGACAUAGAACACCUAUUGCGAAGGCAGCUUACUACGCAAUCAUUGACGCUGAGGCACGAAAGCGUGAGGAUCAAACAGG